UAUCUACUCCCUCUGUUUGGAAUUACUUGUCUUGGAAAUGGAUGUAUCUAGAACUAAAAUACGUCUAGAUACAUCCAUUUCUGCGACAAGUAAUUCCGAACGGAGGGAGUACUCU
rfam:Triticum aestivum genome assembly, contig: Triticum_aestivum_CS42_TGACv1_scaffold_309390_4AS